AUACGUAGGGGGCGAGCGUUGUCCGGAAUGAUUGGGCGUAAAGGGCGCGUAGGCGGCUUGUUAAGUCUGGAGUGGAAGUCCUCUUUUCAAGGGAGGAAUUGCUUUGGAAACUGGCGGGCUUGAGUGCGGGAGAGGUUAUCGGAAUUCCCGGUGGAGCGGUGAAAUGCGUAGAGAUCGGGAGGAACACCAGUGGCGAAGGCGGGUAACUGGACUGCAACUGACGCUGAGGCGCGAAAGUGUGGGGAGCAAACAGGAUUAGAUACCCUGGUAGUCCACACUGUAAACGAUGAGUGCUAGGUGUAGGAGGUAUCGACCCCUUCUGUGCCGGAGUAAACGCAAUAAGCACUCCGCCUGGGGAGUACGGCCGCAAGGUUGAAACUCAAAGGAAUUGACGGGG
rnacentral:rRNA from 1 species